CCUGGUUGAUCCUGCCAGUAGUCAUAUGCUUGUCUCAAAGAUUAAGCCAUGCAUGUGUAAGUAUGAACUAAUUCAGACUGUGAAACUGCGAAUGGCUCAUUAAAUCAGUUAUAGUUUGUUUGAUGGUACCUGCUACUCGGAUAACCGUAGUAAUUCUAGAGCUAAUACAUGAAACAAAACCCGACUUCUGGAAGGGAUGCAUUUAUUAGAUAAAAGGUCGACACGAGCUCUGCUCGUUGCUGCGAUGAUUCAUGAUAACUCGACGGAUCGCAUGGCCCUCGUGCCGGCGAUGCAUCAUUCAAAUUUAUGCCCUAUCAACUUUCGAUGGUAGGAUAGUGGCCUACCAUGGUGGUGACGGGUGAUGGAGAAUUAGGGUUCAAUUCCGGAGAAGGAGCCUGAGAAACAGCUACCACAUCCAAGGAAGGCAGCAGUCGCGCAAAUUACCCAAUCCUGACACAGGGAGUUAGUGACAAUAAAUAACAAUACCGGGCUCUUCGAGUCUGGUAAAUGGACUUUGGGUUGGGCCGGCCGGUCCGUCUUCCGGUGUGCACCGGUCGUCUCGUCCCUUCUACCGGCGAUGCACUCCUGGUCUUAACUGGUCAGGUCAUGCCUCCGGCGCUGUUACUUUGAAGAAAUUAGAGUUCUCAAAGCAAGCUUAAGCUCUGGAUACAUUAGCAUGGGAUAACAUUAUAGUAUUUUGGUCCUAUUACGUUGGCCUUCGGGAUCGGAGUAAUGAUUAACAGGAACAGUCGGGGGCAUACGUAUUUCAUAGUCAGAGUUGAAAUUCAUGGAUUUAUGAAAGAUGAACAACGGCGAAAGCAUUUGCCAAGGAUGUUUUCAUUAAUCAAGAACGAAAGUUGGGGGCUCGAAGAUGAUCAGAUACCGUCCUAGUCUCAACCAUAAACGAUACCGACCAGGGAUCGGCGGAUGUUGCUUAAAGGACUCCGCGGGCACCUUAUGAGAAAUCAAAGUCUUUGGGUUCCGGGGGAGUAUGGUCGUAAGGCUGAAUCUUAAAGGAAUUGACGGAAGGGCACCACCAGGAGUGGAGCCUGCGGCUUAAUUUGACUCAACACGGGGAAACUUACCAGGUCCAGACAUAGUAAGGAUUGACAGACUGAGAGCUCUUUCUUGAUUCUAUGGGUGGUGGUGCAUGGCCGUUCUUAUUUGGUGGAGCGAUUUGUUUGGUUAAUUCCGUUAACGAACGAGACCUCAGCCUGCUAACUAGCUAUGCGGAGGUAUCCCUCCACGGCCAGCUUCUUAGAGGGACUACAGCCUUUUAGGCCGUGGAAGUUUGAGGCAAUAACAGGUCUGUCAUGCCCUUAGAUGUUCUGGGCGCACGCACGCUACACUGAUGUAUUCAACGAGUUUAUAGCCUUGGCUGACAGGACCGGGUAAUCUUUGAAAUUUCAUCGUGAUGGGGAUAGAUCAUUGUAAUUGUUGGUCUUCAACGAGAAAUUCCUAGUAAGCGUGAGUCAUCAGCUCGAGUUCACUACGUCCCUGCCCUUUGUACACACCGCUCGUCGCUCCUACCGAUUGAAUGGUCCGGUGAAGUGUUCGGAUCGAGGCGACGUGGGCGGUUCGCCGCCCGCGAUAUAGCGAGAACUCCACUAAACCUUAUCAUUUCGAGGAAGGAGAAGUCGUAACAGGGUUUCCGUAGGUGAACCUGCGGAAG
rnacentral:rRNA from 1 species